rnacentral:rRNA from 1 species
CCUACGGGUGGCAGCAGUGGGGAAUAUUGCACAAUGGGGGAAAGCCUGAUGCAGCGACGCCGCGUGAGUGAAGAAGUAAUUCGGUAUGUAAAGCACUAUCAGCGGGGAAGAAAAUGACGGUACCUGAGUAAGAAGCCCCGGCUAACUACGUGCCAGCAGCCGCGGUAAUACGUAGGGGGAAAGCGUUAGGCGGAUUUACUGGGUGGAAAGGGAGCGGAGACGGCAGUGCAAGUCUGGAGUGAAAGGCGGGGGCUCAACCUCCGGACUGCUCUGGAAACUGUAUGGCUGGAGUGCAGGAGAGGUAAGUGGAAUUCCUAGUGUAGCGGUGAAAUGCGUAGAUAUGAGGAGGAACACCAGUGGCGAAGGCGGCUUACUGGACUGUAACUGACGUUGAGGCUCGAAAGCGUGGGGAGCAAACAGGAUUAGAUACCCCGGUAGUC